rfam:Triticum urartu cultivar G1812 contig862265, whole genome shotgun sequence.
AUUGUACUCCCUCCGUUCGGAAUUACUUGUCGCAGAAAUGGAUGUAUCUAGACAUAUUUUAGUUCUAGAUACAUCCAUUUUCGAAACAAGUAAUUCCGAACGGAGGGAGUAAUAC